rnacentral:lncRNA from 1 species
GGGGCAGCUGCAGCUCCAGGAGGACCAUGUCAGAGGGACAGGCAGGCCCUUGUUGAGCACGUUCAUGAACAGAAGCAGCAGAAGUCCCUGUUCUCCUAGAGCUGUGCUAGGGUCGGGGGAGGGGAAGCAGAUGAUAUGCCAGGUGGUGAGAGUGAUAAGAAGAAAAAUAAACCAGGCUGAGGGGAGAGAGAACAUUCCCUGCGGAGUGAGCGGCGAGUGGACAGGAGGAGCACCUCACGCUUCCCUUGCAACAGGGGAGGAGGCCGGCGAGGCUGGGGCAGAGUGGACGAGAGGAAAGAGGCAGGAAAGGAAUGGAGAGGCAGGGGGUCCUGGCAGUCCCACCUGGGUAAGUGCUGAGGAUACAGCAAAGAACAAGUCAGACAUGGUCCAUGCCCUCACGGAGCUCACAGCUGAUUGGUGGAGACAGGUCGUAAACAAGAAGGCUUGAUGAAUGUUAUGAAAGGAAGGAAGAUGAGCAGUGGGUGUCUACCGCAAAGCAGCCUUCGCCCUGACUUUCCUCCCAAAUGCCUAUUUUUUCAGAGGACAUUUAAAGAAAUCUGCUGGCAUUGGCCCUGGCUGGGCUGUUGUAAGGCAAACCCACGCCUCUGAUUUCUUCCCCAGAAGCUUUAGCCCUGCCCACAUGGCUUCUCCUAGAGGGUGUCACCCUGCAGGUCUGAGGUUGCUGCUGGCAACGGGAGCACCUUGGGCACUGCAGUCUGGAAUGUGCAUGCUGGCCCUCAGCUGCUGUGCCAAAGGGUGGUGGGGAGAGCCCUGGGAGGGCAUGCUUGAUGAUUCCUUUUUAUUUUUAUUUUUUAGAGACAGGGUCUCGCGCUGUAGCCCAGGCUGGAGUGUGGUGUAGUGGUGUGAUCUCGGCUCACUGCAACCUCCGCCUCCCAGGUUCAAGUGAUUCUCUUGCCUCCGCGUCCUGAGUAGCUGAGAUUACAGCCACACCUGGCUAAUUUUUGUACUUUUACUAGAGAUGGGGUUUCACCAUGUUGGCCAUGCCGGUCAUGAACUCCUGACCUCAAGUGAUCCGCCUGCCCUGGCCUCCCAAAGUGCUGGGAUUACAGAUGUGAGCCACCACGCCCAGCCAUGCUCGAUGAUUCUUGACGGGCCCUGGAUCCAGCUGACAGCCACCCGGGAGCCGCACCACGGGGAAUGCUGCGUAGGUUCUCAAGUGCACAUCUCACAGCUUCGCUGACAGGUAAAAAUAAAGACCUGGGAAUUCCAGGUGAUGUGGGCUGCACCUCCCUCAUGAGGUCAGCACAGUGAGUGCACUUAGAGUUGUCCUUUCUCUGGAGGAAUCUGCUCUCUGAGCCUCCAAAGCUGCAAGGAGUGUGGGUGUGCCCUGAGCUGGGGUUGCUGUCUUUGGAUGCAGAUGCAGACAUCUGGAGCCGGUGCUCCCUGAGCCCUGCUGCCUGGGCCAGUCCAUGCUCUCUGCGCACUGUGUCAUGGGGACAGCAGAGGCCACUCCUGUAAUACCUGAGAGCUGGGGUUGUCUUAAGAAUAAAGCACAGUUGUUGAGGACUCUUCGUGUGCUGAGUGCUGUGCCAAAACUUCAUGAUUUCACCCCAUUUCAUCUCAAUGUCUUUUGAUGUAGGAAUCGCCUGUUAGCUCCAUUUCCUUUUUUUUUUUUCUUUUUUUCUUUUUCUUUUUUUUUUUGAGACAGAGUCUCGCUCUGUCACCCAGGCUGGAGUGCAGUGGCGUGAUCUCGGCUCACUGCAACCUCCGCCUCCUGGGUUCGAGUGAGUCUCCUGCCUCAGGCUCCCAAGUAGCUGGGAGUACCACCACGCCUGGCUAAUUUUUGUAUUUUUAGUAGAGACAGGGUUUUGCCAUGUU